CUGGGAUUAGAUACCCCACUAUGCCUAACCGUAAAAAAUUAAUUACACCCCCAACGCCCGGGAAUUACGAGCCCAAACUUAAAACCCAAAGGACUUGACGGUGUCCCACCCACCUAGAGGAGCCUGUCCCAUAAUCGAUACCCCCCGCUAUACCUCGCCAUUUUUUGCCUACAGUCUGUAUACCUCCGUCGUAAGCCUACCAUGUGAAUGACUGAGUAAGCUAAGCGGCCCCCGCCAACACGUCAGGUCAAGGUGCAACUUAUGAAAUGGUAGACGAUGGGCUACAAUCUCUAAUUUAGAAUAAACGAAAAACUGUAUGAAACACAGUAUGAAGGUGGAUUUAGUAGUAAAAAGAAAAUAGUAUAUUCUUUUUAACUAGGCACUGGGACGUGUACACACCGCCCGUCACC
rnacentral:rRNA from 1 species